rnacentral:rRNA from 1 species
GACGAACGCUGGCGGCGCGCUUUAUACAUGCAAGUCGAACGUGAAGCUCGGAGCUUGCUCCGGGUGGAAAGUGGCGAACGGGUGAGUAUCACGUGAGAAACCUGCCCCGAAGACCGGGAUAACACCGGGAAACCGGUGCUAAUACCGGAUGCCCUCACCGGAUCGCAUGGUCUGGUGAGGAAAUGGAUUCCGCUUCGGGAUGGUCUCGCGGCCUAUCAGCUUGUUGGUGGGGUAAUGGCCCACCAAGGCUUCGACGGGGUAGCUGGUCUGAGAGGAUGUCCAGCCACACUGGGACUGAGACACGGCCCAGACUCCUACGGGAGGCAGCAGUAGGGAAUCUUGCACAAUGGACGAAAGUCUGAUGCAGCGACGCCGCGUGUGGGAUGACUGCCCUCGGGUUGUAAACC